GUGGGGAAUCUUGCGCAAUGGGCGAAAGCCUGACGCAGCCAUGCCGCGUGAAUGAUGAAGGUCUUAGGAUUGUAAAAUUCUUUCACCGGGGACGAUAAUGACGGUACCCGGAGAAGAAGCUCCGGCUAACUUCGUGCCAGCAGCCGCGGUAAUACGAAGGGGGCUAGCGUUGCUCGGAAUUACUGGGCGUAAAGGGCGCGUAGGCGGACAGCUUAGUCAGAGGUGAAAGCCCAGGGCUCAACCUUGGAAUUGCCUUUGAUACUGGCUGUCUUGAGUUUUGGAGAGGUGAGUGGAACUCCGAGUGUAGAGGUGAAAUUCGUAGAUAUUCGGAAGAACACCAGUGGCGAAGGCGACUCACUGGCCCAAUACUGACGCUGAGGCGCGAAAGCGUGGGGAGCAAACAGGAUUAGAUACCCUAGUAGUCC
rnacentral:rRNA from 1 species